rnacentral:sRNA from 1 species
GGUCUAUGUGCAAAUGCAUAUUUUUGUCCGUUGACAUCGCAGACUGGGUUUUGAUAUGGAUUGUACAACAUCCAUUACUCAUCUAAACUACAAUUCAUCAUGUCGAAUCUCUUGCACCUUGCUUUGCUUGACGGCCAAACCUUUUCCAGCCUUGGCCACGGCCUGUUCCCAGUUGUCUACAGCAAACGUCGACCAACUUUUCUGGUAACUUGCGACAAGGAGCACUCUCGUUGAAUUGGUGUGCGAAAAAGACAUCCGUUUCAUUGGUCAAGACAUUCCCAAGCCUAUGCAGGUACGAAACGCAGGAGAAUAACUCUUUUCCCAAACCACUGAAGAAGGAAUGUAAAUUUGGUUUCUGCCCUCUACAACCGACGUCAGUUUCGUCGACAUGCUCCACGGUGACAAAACGGUAUACUUUCGGCAAUGGUACGGAUACUUGUACCAUAGAUGACCUCCUUGAAACCAGCCCAUCGAAUGGCGGAUGCGCACAUUGGACAGCUAUCAAUUACAUUAGCUGCGACCUUCGCGUUGCAAGACAGGACUUUGGCUCACGGCUCUCCAUUGGUAUAGAGGCUGAAAUCUUUCCAACCUGCCAAGAUUUCUUGAGACGUCCAGCCUUUAGCCGUCAACACUUCAGUACAGUGUGUAAUCGCAGAGAUUUCUCCAUGCAUUGCUGGGUCUGUAAAAUCAGGUAGAAUGAUCAGCCACUGCACACAGAACAUUUUGACUUGGAUACAUCCCAGAAGAUCCUGAGGAAGAAAAAAAAAGAAACUUACUUCCCGUCACCCCGACCUUGUUCGAAAUGACGCACACCAAUUCGUCCGAUGUGGUAUUGACGAUAGCAGUGCCAAACGGUGCUUGCGGACAUGGAUGUCCAUCCGCGUAAACAGCUUCGUUGGCAACUCUCAUCCAGUGCAAUCGGC